rnacentral:rRNA from 1 species
AACGGCCGUACCAUGCUGAAUAUAUCGGUUCUCGUUAGAUCACCGAAGCAUCAUUGGGCGCGGUCAGUACUUGGGUGGGUGACCACCUGGGAACACUGCGUGCCGUU